ACCAUGCUUUUCUUGGGGUAGGGCUACUGUCCAAUGAACGAGUAGUGAGGGCAGUACUGCUAACGCCUACACAACACGCUCCCAUCAACUAGAGCUUUGCUUUACUUUAGUGCAAUUUUCGGAAAA
rnacentral:ncRNA from 1 species